AUAUGUUCUGAAAUUAAACUUGAACUUUUUUCUGUGAAUUUUGAAGAUAUGGUAUCUUAUAAUUAUUUGGUGAGCAUUUGGCAUGAAUUAUUUAGCUUCUCCCCUGUUUAUGAUUUAUUUCUCUUCUCAUCGAUUUCCAAUAGGAAAAUGUUAUGAUUCUAAAUGUCUCCUGUAGACUUCAGUAAUUGAAAAACGUCAGUUAAGAUGGAGGGAAUCUGUAAUAUAUAAUAGAGUUUAUCUUUUAGUUAUGUUCAUUUCCACUUUUUUAAUUUUUUUUUUUUUUUUAGUAAAUGUCAAAGUGUUACUCAGUGCAACAUAUUAUGCAAUAUUAUAAUCAACUAACCUCUUCAUUGAUAAUGACUUCAUAUUGAGAGGUUUUUUAAAUCUAGAAAUAUUCUUGUUUUAAAUUCCAGGUUAAAAUGUAAAGGUAUUUUUAUUUUUUUAAUUUUAAUUCUUCUCAAAGCUACUAGUACAUUAUAAAACAACAAUUUCACAUUUAGAAUUUUUAUAUGUCUAUAAAUUAGGAUUAUUUUUUAAUAUUAGCCUUAACUUUCUUUAACUUUUAUGGAAAACAACUAGUCCCAAGGGUAUUUUUACUGUUUAAUAUACAUUAUUCCUGUGAUUCAAAAUCUGAGCAGUAGAACCUGUUGAGCUACUUAACUUUCUGUCUUGGGACUAUCCAGGUGCAGUUAUAACUGGUUUCAAAGUUGUGACCUUUUCCUUGCUUGUUUCAAAAUCAUUCCUUAAAAAAUGUUCAGUAUUUUUCUUUUGUCAAAAAAUAUUUAAAAACAGGAUUUGUGGGUUGUUCUGUUUUUUAAAAUUAGUUUGAGAAACUUCCUUUGCCACUUGUUUUCUGUGAAAAUGUUGUAAGAGCUCAAAUUCCCUGGGGGUAGGGAGGACUUUUAUAAGGUUUUUUUGGUUGAAGGGUAUAAAAGGCAUUUAAAAGGUAUACAGUUACCUUUAUUUCGAUAUCCCAGUCAUUUUGACAUUAUGAUAAGCUUUCCCCACUUUAUAGGUUAUCUGAAAAUUUGGUGGGGGGCGGGUAUCUUAUUUAUACUUAAUAUAACAAAAUUAUUUUCCUAUGUGUAGUCAAUAGCACAUACGAAAAAUUAUCUCCUGUUUGUAGUUAGUAGCACAGUCAGUAGUCACCAAAAUACUGAGUUAUUUUUCAAGUAAAGGUAUGAGUAUGAAUGAGAAACAGUUUGUGGGUUGGGUAUUGUCAGUCCUUCUUUUUCAGAUAACUUUCUAAAUGGUCAUUCAAUCUGUAAUCUUAAACUUUUUUAAUGUUAUAAAUUCUUCAAAUCAGUAUUUGUAUUAAAUGCAGUGACCAGACUAUGUCACUGAUAUAAUAUCGUGAUUAGAUGUGCAGAAGACUAUGUUACAUGGAUGAUAAAUGAACUUUUAACAUAUAGAAAUUAAUAUCAGAUUAAACUAAAACAUUAAGCAAAGUUAAUACAUGCUUGCAUACAUAUAUAUAUUUAUUUAUUAAUGAUAUGUGGAGAAUCUUUGUGCUUCAUAGUCACUAGACCUAAAGUAGAAGCAGUUGUCAAGAAUGUCCAACUGCUAUUCAUCUUCGUGGCCAAAGUAAAUUUCAGAUUUUUUUUUUGUAAUGGUUUUCUUUAGUCUCUUUAUUAACCCAUCAUCAUGACAAGUCUGUCAAGUGACACAUGUGAAAAGCAGAUGUCCUUUCUUAUUCCUGGUGCUUCCUGAGGAGGCAGUGCAAUGCAGGAGAAGGAACAUUAUUAGAGAUAAAGGAAAAAACCAGAAGUGCUUUCUCCUCUCACAUUCCACUCAACACUUCUCUCACCAAAUGUGUGUGGGGAUUUCUCUCCACCAACAACCAGCAGUUCUUUACUGCAGAUUCUCCAGUGGAUACCACCCAGGUGUCCUCUAAUUCAGUUCAAUUCUGACAUUAUCUACUGGGAGAUAGUGUCAGAUCCCGCAAGUGGAGGGCUCAGUCCUACAAGACUACCUUACUUCAGAUGUCAGUCACAAGCAGUUAGCGGUUUGUGAUUCUGACCAACUGGCUAGAGGUCCCCCUCCUCAAGUGUGAUUAAUUUGCUAGAGCAGCUCACAGAAUUCAGGGAAACACUUUAUUUACAUUUACCCAUUUAUUAUAAAGGAUAUUAUGAAGAAUACAGAUGAACUGCCAGAAAGACAAGGAGCAUAGGCAAGAUACUGAGAAGGGUCACGGAGCUUCUGUGCCUUCUCCAGGUGCACCACCCUCUGGGAAUAAUCAGUUCAUGUGUUCAGCUAUCUCGAAGCUCAUUCGAACCCUGUCCUUCUGAGUUUCUGUGGAGGCUUCAUUACGUUAAGGUUCAGAAAUCAAUACCCCAAAAUAUGGGGCUUUGACAUGCUGAAUUAAAGAAGCAGCCUCAAGGCCUCUUGGCCUUCUCCAGCUCUCCUCACCCAAAUCCUGUCUCUCCCAAAGCACAAGAUGAGGCUGUUCACCAAAGUUCCCUUAUUUACCUAGAAACUGGACCUUAAAGAGGAACACAGUUGCCUGCGAUUCCAUCCCUGUAAUUUUAUUAACCAGAGAUUAAAACUUAUAUCACAGAGGAAGAGACUGAAAAUUAAACACCACACCUGGAGCCCAGAUGACCUGUCCCAAUCUAUUAUCUGUUCUCCAGUCCCAUUUAGUUCCCAAAGGGAAUCAUUUACAAACCAUUGUCUGAUCUUCAGGCCCAUUUAUUUACAGCUCCCCCUCUUUCCCCAAUGAAAAUGAUACUUAAGUGUCAGCCAUCUAUCGGCUCUUUGAGUUUUCACAUUUUGUAUGACUCCUGUGCAGACACAUGCAUGUAAUAACUUUGUUAUACUUGUUAACUUUUUUUCAUUAUAGGGGUAUCCACCAUGAUUAUAUAUGAUGGGGAGGAAAGGGAUUACUCCAUUUCUGCCCCUGCAGUCUGUAGGCAUGAUUGAUUGCAUCAUUGGUCGCCGGUGAUUAACUCAAUCUCCAAGCCCUGUCGUGUCCCUGGAGGUUGGAGGGUGGCACUGAAAGCUCCAACCAUCUCAUCAUGCUUUGAUCUUUCCGAUGACCAGACCCCACCCUGAAGCUAUCUACGGGUCCCCAGCAACAUUCAUUUCGUUAUCAUACAAAUGACAUUCUUACAAUUUCAGAGAUUCCAAGGGCUUUAGGAAAUGGAGAUGAAGAGCAAAUAUAUAUUUCACAAUAUCACAAACAUACCCUUGGGAAUUAGACCUCUGAUCUAAUCUAGGCUCCCUCACUUGCGAUUUUUGUGACCUUGAACAAGUUGUUCAUCUUUUCUGGAUAGUUCUCUGUUAAAAAAAUUAAAAUAAAAAAAUGGUGGCUAUCAGGUUGUUAGGAGGACUAGAUAAGAGAACUAUGUGAAGGACCCUGCACAGUGCUAGCAACAAAGUUGUUUAGUAAGUACUAUUUCAAUUUAUUUUGCUUCCAAGCUCAUGUGAGCUCCCUCAGUGUGUACCACCAAAUCAUAUGAUGUGUAUCCCAGUCAAAUCUUAAAGGUCACCCACCUUGAAUCUUUAAGUUAAUUGAUGUGUGUUUUUAAAACUGCAUUAUAAGAAUGUUAGGGUUUUUGUUUUGAUCCUAUGGAAGUUAAACUUUUUUACGCAAGCAUUCAACUGUUUAGCUUCAAACUGAACAGAUAAAUAGUCUGUAUUAUUUCAUUAUGUAUUAAAAAAUGAUUAAGCCUGCCUCAGGCAGUUCAGACAAAGCAGGUAAAAGAUUAUCAAGGAGUAACAUUAGAAAACACUAAUCAGAGUGCCUAAAAAGCUUUAUGCGGUCCAGGUUGUACAGGGAUGUUGGAACAGUAAAACAAACAAAACAUUACAAGGUAUGAAGCGUUCGAGAUAGGUAGAAUAGAGCAGGUUAUAUUAGAGAAGUCUCUUCUAAAAUUGUGUUGGCUAGCCUGGGAUUUGAACUUAUACCGUGUAUGUAUGUCCAUGUGUAACAGGUUGAACAUGCAAGAAGCAGUGUUCAUAAAAGGUGGCAAACUUGUUUUACUUGUUUCUCAGUCUUUUCAGAUCAGUACUUAUAAAACACUGAUAUUUACAGUAAAUAUAUUAAAUAUUAGCUAACCCUAUUAAAUUGUGUGUCCUUGUGCUGCAGUCAUUUAAUGACCUCAUUCUUUGGUAAGUUGGCAUGUGAUUUGAGAUAGCUCUAAGUGCUAAUGGAUUGUUUGAAGGAGUUAAAGGCAAAACCAGGAAGAGAAAACUAUUUUUAGGAAAAAGGGAUCAUACAACAGGCCUUAAAUAGAAGAAAUGAGAUAUCUCUGUCUUUACUAUGUAACCUUUAAUUCCUUACACAUUUUGACUUCAUGUUUUUUGUAUGUAAAUGAGAAUGUUAUAGUCUUGUAAAUUCCUUUUCCUCUGUGACUACAUUCAGUUAUUUAUUUUAUUGUGUGUUUGUGCAUGUCGAUAGAGCACAGUAUUUAGUAGAAUGAGUUAUUGGUUAAACCACCUGGAUUCAUUUGUAAAAUGGGGCCACCUGUCUCUUACAUUGUAAUGAGGAUUUGAUUCGAUAAUCUAGAUAAAUCACUUAGCACAAGAGUCUCCAGCCCCCGGACUCUUGAGUGGUACUGGUCUGUGGCCUGUUAGGCACUGGGCUGCACAGCAGGAGGUGAGCAGGGAGCAAGCUAGCACUAGGGCCCAAGCUCCGCCUCCUUUCGGAUCAGUGGCAGCAUUAGAUACUCAUAGGAGCACAAACCCUGUUGUGAACUGUGCGUGUGAGGGAUCUAGGUUUCGUGCUCCUUACAAGAAUCUAAUUAAUGCCCGAUGAGCUGAGGUGGAACAGUUUCUUCCCAAAACCGUCUCAGGAAACCCGUCCCUGGUGCCAAAAUUUGGGGGACCUCUGACGUAGCACACUAUCUGGCACAUACCAAGCACUCAGAAAAUAUCCAAUUUCUCAAAACUCAGUUCCAGUGUCAAGUCUUAAUAGUAUAUUGAUCUUGGAACUCCAAGGUAGUUGGUCCUCUCUUUGUGCCAUAAAUGUGCCUUGUACUCAGUAGUGCUAAAUUGCUAUCACUAGUGCUAAAUGUACUACUAAUUCAUCUGUGUGUCCACUUCCCUUCUUAGAUUGUGAGCUCCUUGAGGACAGAGAUGGGUUUACUCAUAUUUAUAAAUUCAUUGGCAUGAUAAAUAUUUGCUGAAAGAAUAAAAUUGUAUUCUUAUUUUUUAAGCAGGGUCCCCUCCACCUCUGAGUGGAAGAUGGUCUGGGAGCAAAGGUGUCAGGUCUUCUAAAAAAUCUGGCCACAUUCUCAACCCACCACACCCCCGCUUUUUUAAACAGCUGUUUAAUUGCCAUUGUAAUCCUAAGGAUUGGAUCCAUUUUUCACUUCCCUUUUUCACACUUUUUUCUUUUACUAAGAAAAUAAAGUAAUAAAGUGACUGCCAAAUGGAGAAAACUGUCCACUAAAUAUGAAUUAAUAAGUGCUAUGAUCAGAAAUUGUGUAAAAGCAACAUAAUGGCACUAUAAAAAGGUAUUAUCUUAGAAUCAAAAACCUUGGGUUUAUAUUAUAGCCCUGCUACUUUCCAGUCAUAUGACAGUGAUCAAGCUAUAUUACCUCUUUGGCUUGACAAAAUAGGGGUCAUCUCUAUUUCUGGCUUGUUAUGAUUGAUGUGAAAUAUUCAUACAAACUACCACUGUGCUUGGUAAGUAGAAGACACUCAAAUAUGUCUUGGAGUUACAGUUAAUACUGUAUCGUUUAAAUUUGAGAAAAACCAACUUUAAAAAAUCACAUAGAUACAGUUUUUUACUGCUAGAAAUUUUAUUUAAAUUAGUUGAUACUCUUGGUUAGGUAAUGAAAAACAAUGGUUUUAUCUCCAUUAUGCUGUGAUAGGGAAGAGUAACACAGUUCAAAUGGCAAAGGCAUACCUGACAAUUAAAAUGCAUAGUUAAAGGCUAAUACUUCCUGAACACAAGAAGACAAGUCUCUGCUUGAUAUUACUCUCCACAGUUAAAUCAUUGAUACUUUGUGCCAUACAGUGAAAACAGAACCAUCUAGGUGUUCACGGAUUGUAUUUUUCCUUAUGAAAGGUAGAAGGUUAGAGAAAAUUAUUCUCAAUACAAUUAAUAUAAAUAAAAUUGGUUAUUAGGUGCCUUUUAAUUAGGCAGUAAGGGCAUAUGAAGCUUCAUUACCUAUGAGAAUUUUGUCAAAAUUAUUUCCCAGUUACCGUGUUUUAAAACAACCUCUCAGAAUUCCCCACUUCUAAUUUCUCUUUUCUAUUCUACCAAUUUUACUCCAUACCUUUUUGCUAAAUAAACAUUUUCUUCC
rnacentral:lncRNA from 1 species